GUAUUUGUGAGCGUGCCACAUCAUUGCACUAGCAGAGCAAUUGACAGAUUUUUCACAAAAAUACUAAAAUGAUCACGAUAAACAAAUUCAAAGAAAGACUAAAAUGAUUCACGAUAGACAAAUUCAAGGAAAAUACAAUUGAUUUUCAUUGUUAAGGACCAUAUUAACGAGUUAUAUCAAUGUCACGAACCAUUUUGGCCAAAAAGCCUUUAAUUUAUUUGAUUGUUAAAUUUGAGGGUAUUUGUGUCUAUUUAAGUGAAUUUUGGAUAUAUUUGAAAGUUUUUGUAAAAAGUGACUUUUUUGAAAUUAAGGGUUAAUUUUUUGCUACAUUUGAUAAAUACUCGUUCAGUAGCAUGACCGACUUCUCUGAACAUGUUGUACGGUUUAAGGUAAAUUUAUUCAAAUGUACCUUUAGACCAUCUCCAACUCUUGAGGAUAAAACUUAAAAUUUUAAGUCAUAAUCCAUAAACUGUUUUUCUUUUUUAAUAGUUGUAGCCUAAAAUUUUAGCUUGAGAUUAUAAAAUAAUGAUUUAUCCUUUUUUUUUUUCAGUAACUUUUUUUAGAAAAUAAAAUUUAUGUUGAUUAUUCUAAUUUAUUUUUAUGAACAUUUUAACGUUAAAAUAUUUAAAUUAUGAUAAAUAAUUAAAAAUCAUACAAAUAUAUAGGUAUUUAUAAAGUUUUA
rnacentral:lncRNA from 1 species